AGGUUUUGGUUUUAAGAACUAUGCUGCAUGACAGUACAAAUAUCUGUAUUGCUAAAUAUAAUAAAAGAACAGAGGAAACAGCUGCGUCCCAUCAUUGCCACAUAAGCUGGAUAUGAGGGUACAGAAUCCUGGCAUGCAGAAGGAAGAGCAAGAAUCAGCCCUGAAGCCUAACUCUCCUUUUGCAGCUGUCCAUUCCUAACAGUGAAUGGAAAGGAAGAGCUUCCUUGACCUGGAAUUCUUAGCUGGAAGUUUUUUAGCUGCAUUAGCAUGGUGAGGAUGAUGGAAGGCGAAACAUGGGCCUUCAGUGCUGGAUUGCAGCAGCAUGUCUGCAGUACACAAUGUCAUAAAGCCUGAGCUGAGAAACAACUGAAUUCUACUUUAACCAGCCAUACUGUAGCUCUGCAUGCCUGCCUCAAACAGACAAGGUUCAAAGGAGGAGUAUGAAACAAGAACAUUUCUCAUGCCUUGUCCUACUCAGUUUCAUGCCUUACUUCCUCAAAAGAAGAGCUCAUUUUACAAUGAAUGCAACAAAUGACUCAGUGUGCCAAAGAACGUCAAUCGUAAUGUUAUUCUACAUCCUUUAGCAGCCUCUAGUGGUUCUUGUAAAAAGUGAACUCAGAAUACUGUAUAACUCACAGAUUAGAGAAGAUUAGAUUAGAAAUACAUUAUCAGAAACACUGGUUGUCCUUGUUUUGAUCUAAUUCUGACCUAAUAUUAUGAUUUGUCUAGUGCUAAUUUAUUUGGAAGUGUAUAUAU